rnacentral:rRNA from 1 species
UACGUAGGGUGCAAGCGUUGUCCGGAAUUAUUGGGCGUAAAGAGCUCGUAGGCGGUCUGUCGCGUCUGCUGUGAAAACUCAGGGCUUAACCCUGAGCUUGCAGUGGGUACGGGCAGACUAGAGUGCGGUAGGGGAGACUGGAAUCCUGGUGUAGCGGUGAAAUGCGCAGAUAUCAGGAGGAACACCGGUGGCGAAGGCGGGUCUCUGGGC